GGCCCCGUAGCUCAACNGGAUAGAGCGACGGANUUCUAAUCCGUAGGUUGCAGGUUCAAGUCCUGCCGGGGUCA
rnacentral:tRNA from 1 species